rnacentral:rRNA from 1 species
UACAGAGGUCUCAAGCGUUGUUCGGAUUCAUUGGGCGUAAAGGGUGUGUAGGUGGCGCCGUAAAGUCGGGUGUGAAAUUUCGGAGCUUAACUCCGAAACUGCAUUCGAUACUGCGGUGCUUGAGGACUGGAGAGGAGACUGGAAAUUCAUGGUGUAGCAGUGAAAUGCGUAGAGAUCAUGAGGAAGACCAGUGGCGAAAGGCGGGUCACUGGACAGUUCCUGACACUGAGGCGGCGAAAGCCAGGGGAGCAAACGGG